GCUGAUUUUUUAUUUUUAUUUUUUGUAGAGAUGGGGUCUCACUACGUUGCCCAGACUGGUCUUGGACUCCUGGGCUCAAGCCAUCAGCCCACCUUGGCCUCCCAAUGUGCUGGGAUUACAGGCAUGAGCCAUAGCGCCAGGUCUCUGUGCUCCUUUGCUAUGGCAGCCCUAGGAAAUGAAUGCAAGUAUCAUGUCCCAGUGAGGCGCUUUGAGUCAGAAUAGGAAAAUGGGAAAUUGUCAGCGUGAAUCCUGAAAUGCAAACUAAUGAGAAUUUUAUUUUUAUUUUUAUUUUUUUUUUAAUUUUCUCUGAGUUUGCAGGAUGGAUCUGCCUAACACACUUGUAAAAACCUUCUGAAUGGGGAGGAAGAUCACUGAUCCCUGUUCUGGCUCGUCACUCUCCCAGGGGACCAUUUCUGCAUAUGAUGUUAUUAGGUAGAGCAUGGGCGUACUUGCAGAGGGUGGGGGUGGGGAAUUGUCGCAGAAGUCUUGGCCACAUAGGUGUAGUUGGGAGUGAUAACAAUGCAUUGUGCAGUGGAUUGAUUGACUAAAGAAAGAAGGCUUACUGGCUAUUGAUCUCUGUAAUCUGAAGAGAUUGUCUCACUUUUGGCAGGGAUGAGUGGUGUAUAUAUCAGAAAGAGAGCCAAAUGGUCUCUUCCACUAAGAUGCAUGUUUUUUUUUUUUUUUUUUUUUUUUUUUUUCUGGGACUUUAGAACCAGUUGCCAUGCUUAUCAUGCCACCUUUUGAUGAAGUGCUGUUGCAGCUCAGGGUUUCUGGAAACAGCCACUGAGAUGUGCAAGAUGUUUAUCGGGAAUUCACACUUGAGAAAGAAUAGUGGAAAAAACCAGAAAUGGGCAGAGGAAGAGAUCAAACUACAGUUAUGCCCUGCAUAAUGACAUUUUGGUUAACAUUGGACUGCAUAUGCAAUGGUGGUCCCGUAAGGUUAUAAUGAAGCUAAAAGAGUCCUAUUACCUAGUGACGCUGUAGCCAUUCCAAUGUCGUAGAGUAACGCAUUACUCAUGUGUUUGUGCUGAUGCUGAUAUAAACAAACCUACUGCUCUGCCAGGCACGUAAAAGUAUAGCACACAAAAUUAUGUACAGUACAUAAUACUUGAUAAUUAUAGAUAAAUGACUAUGUUACUGGUUUAUAUAUUUACUAUAUUAUGUUUUUUAUUAUUAUUUUAGAAUGUACUCCUUCUACUUUUUUAAAAAAAAAAGUUAACUAUAAAACAGCCUCUGACUGGUCUUUCAGGAGGUAUUCCAGAAGAAGGCUUUGCCAUUAUAGGAGAUGACAGCUCCACUGGUGUUAUUGUCCUGAAGAUCUUCCAGUGGGACAAGAUAUGGAGGUGGAAGACAGUGAUAUUGACGAUCCUGGCCCUAUGUAGGCCUAGGCUAAUGUGUGUGUUUGUGUCUUAUUUUUUAAUUUUUGAGACAGAGUCUUACUCUAUUGCCCAGGCUGAAGUGCAGUGGUGCGAUCUCAGCUCACUGCAACCUCUGCCUCCAGGGUUCAAGUGAUUCUCGUGCCUUAGCCUCCCAAGUAGCUAGGAUUACAGGUGUGCACCACCAUGCCCAACUAAUUUUUUGUAUUUUUAGUAGAGAUGGGGUUUCCCUAUGUUGGCCAGGCUGGUCUUGAACUCCUGGCCUCAAGUGAUCUACCUGCCUCAGCCUCCCAAAGUGCUGGGAUUACAGGCAUGAGCCACUACGCAUGACCAGUGUCUUAGUUUUUAACAAAAAAUUUAAAAAGUAAAAAGAAAAAAGUUUUAAAUAGAAAAAAGGUUAUAGAAUAAAGCUAUAAAGAAAAAAAUAGUUUUUAUAGCUAUGCAAUGUGUUUGUGUUUUAAGCUAAGUGUUAUUAAAAAGAGUCAGAAAGUUAAAAAGUUUAUAAAGUGAAAAAGUUAUGGUAAGCUUAGGUUAAUUUAUUAUUGAAGAAAGAAAAUAUUUUUAAAUAAAUUUAGUGUAGGCUGGGCAUGGUGGCUGAUGCCUGUAAUCCCAGCACUUUGGGAGGCCAAGGGAGGGGGUGGAUCAUGAGGUC
rnacentral:lncRNA from 1 species